rnacentral:rRNA from 1 species
UGGGGAAUAUUGCACAAUGGGCGCAAGCCUGAUGCAGCCAUGCCGCGUGUAUGAAGAAGGCCUUCGGGUUGUAAAGUACUUUCAGUCGGGAGGAAGGUGGUAAGGUUAAUAACCUUAUCAAUUGACGUUACCGACAGAAGAAGCACCGGCUAACUCCGUGCCAGCAGCCGCGGUAAUACGGAGGGUGCAAGCGUUAAUCGGAAUUACUGGGCGUAAAGCGCACGCAGGCGGUUGAUUGAGUCAGAUGUGAAAUCCCCGGGCUUAACCCGGGAAUUGCAUCUGAUACUGGUCAGCUAGAGUCUUGUAGAGGGGGGUAGAAUUCCAUGUGUAGCGGUGAAAUGCGUAGAGUUGUGGAGGAAUACCGGUGGCGAAGGCGGCCCCCUGGACAAAGACUGACGCUCAGGUGCGAAAGCGUGGGGAGCAAACAGG